UAUUCUGGAUAUGGUGGAUUUUGUACGAAGGUUGUGAGUAAGUCAACAAGAAAUCAGUCACUUCCAGUAAGAGAAGGUAACAUCCUACUUACUCUAAUCUUAUGAUGAUUCAAGAAGCCUUUGAUCAAAGCAAAAUGAAUAUUAGAAAGAGUUUCUAAUGUUUCAUUGUUUGAAUUAUCAUAUAAAAGAUUGAGAGAGACAUGAAUAAGUGAUUGAGUUUGAUAUUGAUCCAUACUCGAGCACUUAUUCAGGAUGUAGUAUGACUGAGGGAUUGAAUUGCACAGUAACUUUCCACUGAAGGGUAUGUUUGGAUUUGUCCAAUACAUUCCUCAUCUUCCGGGUAGACAUGAUACGUUGCUAGACGUCAAUCAUGUCUUGUGGGUUGAUCGGAUCAAAGAGUUUGAUUAGAUCAAAGCAUCAGAAAGGUUCUGAUUGCUAAGUCAGGUUUAGCACUAAAUUGAACCUAAAUUGGAUUAGAGGUAUUCUAAUCAGGUUAGGUCAACUUGCACCUGCACCUACUGCUGGCUAAGAUAAGGAACCCAAUGGGUCACACACAAGGGAAUUGAUCAAGGGUCUAAUUGGAUUAGAUCAUGUUUGCAAGAUGAACAUGCUAGCACGUGUUGCAAACCCUAGCUCCUGAUUCAAAUUAAAUUCGAAUAUGAUUCUUAGAUUAGGUUGAUCUAAUAUGAUUAGAUCAUGACCUAAUAUGGGUUAGCCAAGAGUUGAAACCCAUUUGGCUUUAAUUAGACCUGAUUUGAUUAGGUUUAAUGUUUUCUUUAAGUUGGUUAAACCCAAUUGGAUUGGGUUUGAUAGGGCCUUCACUUCUGGACCAUUGGAUCGCUUCCUGGAUGAAGGAUCUGGUCCACUGGUUGGCGCCUUCAUCUGGACCAUUGGAUGGCUUCCUGGAUGAAGGAUCUGGUCCACUGGUUAGCGCCUGAAUCUGGACCACUGGAUGGCUCUCUGGAUGAAAGAUCUGGACCGUUGCUCAGCGCCUGAAUCUGGACCACUGGAUGGCUCUCUGGAUGAAAGAUCUGGACCGUUGCUCAGCGCCUGAAUCUGGACCAUCGGUGAUGGCAUCUUGCUUCUGGACCAUUGGAUGGCACCCUGGAUGAUGAUGUCCCUGAUCUGGACCAUUAGAUGGCGCCUAGAUCUGGACCAUUGGCUUUGGUUCACUGCAUUUGGGCCCUUGGAUCAUCAGGAUUUAAGAGGGAGAUGUGAGAAAGAAGUUGAUACACCCUUCUCCUUAGCACCCCAUCAUGAUGGGAUGCAUCUCUUGGCACAUGCCUCAUCAUGAUGAGGUGUGUGGAUGGGAUGCAUCCCUUUAUGAUGCAUCCCUCCAUCUCUUAUAAAUAAGGAGGUGCCUUGGGGCAUGCAGGUGAUGUUUCAUUAGAAUCCAUCUUAAAUAAUUCAUACUUAUGAACUAAUAUAUUUAUUUUGGAUUCUUUGACUUGAUUCGUGCCCUCAUGGGUCACUUCAAGUCUAUCCCAAAUCUCUUUUGCAGAAUUGCAGGUGGAGACUCUAUUGAAUUCAUUUCUAUCUAAUGCACAGUAGAGCACAUUCAUUG
rnacentral:lncRNA from 1 species